CCUCAUUUCUGAGUGCCUCCCCUACAGCCACCUCCUAUGUGGCCAUGUUCCUGAAGCGCUGGCUUGAGGAGCUCCUCUCAGAGCUGACCCUGACUCGUGAAGGCUCUGGAGCUUGAGCAACAGCUGCUACCACCCCUCCAAGGCCCUCCACCCUGGCUGCCUUGCUCGGUCAGGAAGAGGCCUGAUCUGUGGCUGCUGGGGACGAACUGAGGACUGUAUUUAUGUUCCAGAAGCAGCGGGCAGCCACCCUGCCACUCCUCAGCACCCCAGCCCUGCCAAGCUCCCGGCAGCACAUCGUGCCCUGGCUGUCCACCUCUGACAGCCUCUCCUGCUGAGCCCUGGAGGCUUGAGGACCACACAAGGCAUCAGGCCUGCCCUGGAAUCCUUCUCCCCCAUCAGCACAUCAGCCACGAGCAGGAUCACCUACAUAAUUUGAGGGACCCUUUGGCACUGAUGUGGAAAAAUGUCACAACAGGUUCUUUUGUGGGAAAGAAUAUGAGACCAGAAUGAGGAAGUCCCAAUGCAUUGUGGAGUGAUGUGGCUCCCUGGAAACAAAAGUCUGAGGGCCCUGAUGUCAGAAGAGCAGGUUGGCACAGCUCUUGCUUGGUGGAGGCUGUCAGUCGCCAGGAGAGAGCGCUUCCUCACUACUACAAGGUGGCAGAGAAAGCCACAAAAGGCUGGGGCCAAAAUUCUGCAUCAGUUCCUCAUCGACAGAUAAGAUCAAGAUUGGCACCCAUGAGUUCUGGCUGAAGGCACCAAUUUUGUUCCUUGUUAUUGAAUUAUCAAAGCUAUCUUAUCCAUGUUACUUAUUAUUUUCACAGGUUCUCGGUUUCUUUCUUUUUUAAACCCUGUUCUUAUCUUUCAAGCUUUUAAAUUUAUCUUGCUCCUCUUUUUGAGUUAUAAGCUAUAAACUCUCCCUCCUUUAUAAUAUUAAACAUUCGGGCCAGGGAUUUAGCUCAGUGGCACCGUGCCUGCCUCGCAAAUGCAAGGUCCUGAGUUCAAUCCCCAGUACCAAAAAAAGAAGAAAAAAAAAUUGUGCUGCUAUAAUAUUCAGCAUUCCCUUAACUUAAGCCAGUACAUCAUGGUGUGUAAUUUUACAUCAAGAUUCACAGGGAAUAAUCAAAAUUGUUUUCCCCAUUCGAGAAAACUUAAGGAUUCAUCAGUUUUCGAUUUUCUCAUGAGGAGAUAAGAUUCUUUAUGAUUAGGUGAAGAAUGUAUCUGUAGAUGCAGUAUAUUAAGAUCUUUGCCUGAACUGUCCUUUUGACUUAUGGAUCAAAAUUCAGACUUUUCCUCCUGUGUAUUAUUAUGAUGCUUAUUUCAAUUACAGGUUUAAUUUAAUAACUGAAUGUAGAACUCUAUAUUUUCAGAACUCUUUGGAAAAUAAAAUUUCCAAUUACCUUAAUUUUCUAAACAGUUCAAAGUUCCUAAAGCCAAAUAAGAAUAUCAUAAAAUACAACCAGUUUAAGGUCGGUGAUUUAGCUCAGUGGUUCAGGCACCUGCCUCGAAAGCACAAGGUCCUGAGUUGGAUGCCCAGUACCAAAAAAAAAAAAA
ensembl:lncRNA